AUUAAAAUAAAAAAUAAACCAAACAUUACUUCUCAUUCAUUUUCUAAACCUUUAUCGGAGCUUUCAGCCAUGGCUUCUCUCUUCAACACACUCACUGCUCAACACUUCUGCUUCAUUCAAGGUGCAAUGCGGGUAUACCAAAAUGACUUCCAGUGAACUUGAAAGAUAUAGCCGCGGCAGGAGUCCAAGAGGGGGAGGAGGUAUCACUGGAAUCACUAGAAAAUAAAGAUCUAAUCAACCCAUCAGGGAGGCAGACAAAGGAGACUUCCUGUGAAGUUGGAACAUCUGCUAUAUGAUCAUACUACUAUCACUGUCUUCAUGGAUGCAGAAUUCUGGAACUUGACCAUAAUUCAAUAUAUAAAGAUUCCAGGCGAUGGGGACCUAAGCAUAAAGCUGAACUUCAAGGCGCGUGCCUUUCCAGCUGCAGCCAAAAUGCAAUCAGAAGCUAUUAGUCUUUCAUUGACCACAUUGCCUGGCCGAAAGAAGUGGGCAAAGCCAUCAGUGUCUAAUAACCAUGAUCGCACUGAAGAAUACUUUGCAAAGAAACGUGCUUCACCUGAGUGGUUCGAUCCUUCUUCAGUUUGAUCUAUGCCACUCAUUGUUAUGUCAUUUUGGAGAACUAUAGGUUGCACUCAAGUGAUACAAUUAUUCCUAAUCAUGGAUGGCAGGGGUCCAGAGGAUAAGGUAUUUCAGCACAGGAAUAUGUGAUAAGAUAGCACUUGUCAAAUUUCUGUGUGAAUUUAUAUAAAGCAUUGCAGGCAUCCCAUAUUAUAUGGUCCACAAGGAGAAGCUUUUUAACAAAUACUCUCGAUUUUCGAUUAACGUAUUGUUUGUGUAAUGAAUUUAUAAGUCAAUUUCUUAACCUGAGAAGUUGAAAAUUUCGAUCGGAUUUAGAUCAAAUUGACCAAAUAAAGAUUUGAACCGGAUGUAAUUUGAAA